rnacentral:lncRNA from 1 species
UAUUAAUGAAUUUAUAUUUUGAAUUACAAAGGCAAUUUAGAGCGAAGUUACAAGCUCACCCUAUAAAACAUUUUGAAAAUGAAGUAAAGGAAAAAUGACCAGAUGAGUAGGAUAUUAGCAGGCAAGGAUAAGGAGAGAAUGCUUCAUAAAUAGAUGAAGCAGCUUAAGCAAAGGCAGGGCUCAGGCGGUGUGGCGUGUAUUCCAACUCCUGUGACUAACUGCCACCCCAUUUGACUGGAAGCCAUUGAGGUGGCAAAGCCGUGCGUCAGGAUCAAGAGCCCUACAGCUCGCUCGUGUGACCUCGAGCGUAGUACUGGACCUCUCUGAGCUGCUCUGAGACUGACUUAAUAGGGAAUCCCAAAGUGGUAGGUGGCACCUAUGGUGACAGCAUCCAUUGAAGGAUUUGAAUAGGGAAGAGCCUUGUUUGGAACUUGGCAACCAAUUAGACAUCAGAGUCAAAAAGCAGGGAUAUCAGUGCAGGGUCGCUGUGUGGCUGGAGGCGUCAGCAGUGGGUUUGAGGGAAAGGAGGAAGAAUUUAGUUUGUGAUGAGUUUGUGUUGCCUACACGAUAUCUGAGAAAAACCCUCAGCAAGUAGACGGGGCUGGGCCUGGAGUUCAAGAGGAAGGUAGGAGCAGAUGUCAGAAAUGGGGCACCGAUGCCCACCAGGGCAGUUAGGAGAAUAGCCAAGGAGAGUGGGCAGGACAGCCCCUUAUAUCUAGAGGCUGGGUUGGGAGAGAAAUGAUGGAGCCAGCGUCUUCAGAGAGGUCUGGUCCCCCGGGAGGGCCUCACACAGAGAGGGUCAAGCCCUAAGGAUCGUCUGGGCCCACCAACUCAUCUCACCAAGAGGCAGGUCAGAUGUGCUCAGCAUCACAGAGCGGGAAAAGGCAGUACUGGACCAGAACCCAGAACCUAGCACUUUCGACUCUGCAGGUGCACGUGUUCAGAGCCCUCAAGGUCAUGGAUUCCCACAGCUGGUCGUUGGUAGAAAUGGGAUCGAACCACACACAUUCUGCUCUAUCAAGAGGCUUCCCAAGGCUGUGUUAUACAGGACGGAUUGACACCACAAAUAAGGCAUUUCUGGGUCAUGAGCUUGGAGCUUGAAGUAAUCUUGCUCGGUAAGUCCCUGCUGAGGCUUGACCAUUACAUUCUUUCCUUCCCCUUAUCUCUUG